UACGUAGGGUGCGAGCGUUAAUCGGAAUUACUGGGCGUAAAGCGUGCGCAGGCGGCUUCGCAAGUCAGACGUGAAAUCCCCGGGCUUAACCUGGGAAUGGCGUUUGAAACUACGGAGCUGGAGUAUGGCAGAGGGGGGUGGAAUUCCACGUGUAGCGGUGAAAUGCGUAGAUAUGUGGAGGAACACCGAUGGCGAAGGCAGCCCCCUGGGCCAAUACUGACGCUCAUGCACGAAAGCGUGGGGAGCAAACGGG
rnacentral:rRNA from 1 species